rnacentral:lncRNA from 1 species
GAGCUCAAAUUUGACAGUCAGGCUCGGUUUUAUUUAACUUAACGAAAGAAAUUUGAAUCUUUCAGUUUCGACCACGUUUGGUCACCGAAAGCUCUACCGAACUGUAAUCUCUAGCAGAUAGCAGUCGGAUUUUAUUUUCCACGUUCCGGGUGUCAAAAUGACAUGAAACUUUAAAUCUAGUAUCAUAAAAAUAAUUCUGACAUAUUCUUCAAUUUUCAUAAUUUUCGGACACUGUACAUUUUCUGCUAAAAUAUCAGCUCUGUUUCUCACAGAAAAUUCUAAUCUUCUAUUUUCAUUCCGAUUUCAGCACAAGUCAUUUCCGACUUAUAUUUUACUUCUCUAAAUCCAAUAAAAAUAGUAUCUCACACUAUUUUUAUUUAUUUUUACUUUUAUAUCAAAAUCCGGUAUAUUACAGUUAUAAUCUGUAUGCACGUUGAAACUAUUUUUAGAACAAUUUAGA